rnacentral:rRNA from 1 species
GACGAACGCUGGCGGCGUGCCUAAUACAUGCAAGUGGGACGCAAGGAAACACACUGUGCUUGCACACCGUGUUUUCUUGAGUCGCGAACGGGUGAGUAACGCGUGGGUAACCUGCCUAUUAGCGGGGGAUAACUAUUGGAAACGAUAGCUAAUACCGCAUAAUAUUAAUUAUUGCAUGAUAAUUGAUUGAAAGAUGCAAGCGCAUCACUAGUAGAUGGACCUGCGUUGUAUUAGCUAGUUGGUAAGGUAAGAGCUUACCAAGGCGACGAUACAUCGCCGACCUGAGAGGGUGAUCGGCCACACUGGGACUGAGACACGGCCCAGACUCCUACGGGAGGCAGCAGUAGGGAAUCUUCGGCAAUGGACGAAAGUCUGACCGAGCAACGCCGCGUGAGUGAAGAAGGGUUUCGGAUCGUAAAGCUCUGUUGUAAGUCAAGAACGUGUGUGAGAGUGGAAAGUUCACACAGUGACGGUAGCUUACCAGAAAGGGACGGCUAACUACGUG